UUAAGCUUUCUUCAUCUCUUAAUAUUACUUACUAUUAGCACCUAAGGAUUCAUUUAAGUGAUACUUAAGCUUUUAUUGUUUGUUGCUUCUAUAUCCUAGCAAGCAAUUGGUGGGUACAAUUAUAGGUAGCAUUCUUGCAAUUCCUCAUUCUUAUAUAUGAACUGUUUGUUCCUUUGAUUUAUGUGGAAAGUUUGAUAUGUGCAGGUGAGAUGCAUUUAUGAUGGGUUAACCAUAUGAUCACAGUCAAAUUAACUGUUAUUGCAUCUGUCUAUCCACAUCAUUUCAAUGUGAUUCCUACCUAUAUUGAAUAUUCCAA
rnacentral:lncRNA from 1 species